GAAGUGAGCUGUAGCUCACGAAAGCUUACGCUCAAAUAAAUUUGUUAGUCUCUAAGGUGCCACAAGUACUCCUUUUCUUUUUGCGAAUACAGACUAACACAGCUGUUCCUCUGAAACUUCCCUGACUGGCAGUCUGUUCCACCGCUGCUCCCUACAGCUGGGGUCCAGCGGCUAAUCCGACCCUGACGCCAAAACAGCCCACCAAUGCGCUGCAGGAAGCUACAAGUUAUAAGAAUAAAUCCAACCUCCAGCACGAUGCCUAUCUCCCAGGUGAGCCAACCCUCCUCUUCGCCACUUAGCCUUUCAGUGCGAUCGCCCGGGCCCGAGAUCUCUGCUCCCCACGAUGCUCUCCUACUUCAGUGCUGCGCCUCGGGUUGCCACGGAGCCUUUUGCCUUCACCGCGCUGGAACACAGAGAAGAAACCGAACCGAAGCCCGAUAGAAAUGCUCACAGCGGUGGCUCCGCCGCUGCGGCUGUAACCCGUGCUCCCUACGUAGCGUGUUGCAAGCAACCCGGGCUGCGCUCGAUGGAGCGACACGGCGGCGUCCGGACGUUCGGUUGUGGAACGCUGGGGUGCCGCAACAUUCCAAGCGCGACCCCAGAUGACAGCAGCACCGCCGGCUCCUUCUGACUCUGCGGAACGGCAGCCAGCGCUCUCCAGACUCCGGCCCGCAAAAGUAGGUCAGCGCUGCACUGAGCAUGCUCGAGCUAGAGCCAGGCUGCUGUGAAAAUUCAUUGAGCUGCCCAAGGUUGAUGCAGCUUCUUUUCCUUCCCUUCUCCACACUGAAGGUCACCAGACGGAGUGGAAUGGAGCCUCCAGAGAUUAAGGGAUCCCACCUAGCUGGGAACUGGGGAAAUACAGUUUGACAGGUUCUCCUCUGGCAACAGGCGAUGACAGCGGAUUCUGCACAUCAUUAGCUGAUUUAAGAGAAUCAAAAUAAUAAACACUUAAUACUAAUGAUUUUACGAAUGAUCGAAGAUUUUUUAGUUAUAUUGAAACCUUUGCACCUUCAAACCCCGGCCCCGUACAUCCUAGAUAUUUUGCUGACGUCUAAAACGUUGAUUAAAAUAAUUUUUAUUCUGACUAUCCCUGAGCCAAAAAGUGCCCUCAGUGGAAUUUGAAGCACUAGAGAAGAUUUAGCAUUAUAGGACUUCUUGUGUCUACCUUUAACAUCCAUCUUGAGCAAAUAAAUGCUUUUCUUAAUCAAGAUGGUUUGUUAUCUGGAAUAAAUUCUUCUAUUUUGUAACUCUGCUACAGAACAAUACAGAUUGAUGUAAAUUGCAUUUAUGGCACUACAUCUCUUUUCAAUUAUCUUGUCAGACUAAAAGAACUGAAGUAAAGAUAAUUUCAUUUAAUAGUGUAGGGCAAAAUGGUGUGGUUUAGAAAUGGAAAAGUUCAGAACGUUGCUUUUAGUUGCAUAUCAGUUCUCUGCUAGCUGUAUAUAUUACUCAGUAGCAAUCCUUUUCCUAGCAUUGAUCAUAUUGUCUGCUGCAAACUAAGACUAGCAUUUGAUAUUAGUCUAGCAUUUUAUAUUUACUGUAGUGAGUAUACUUUACUUCUCCAGCAGUGCUUGUUUAAUCACAAGAAGCCUUUUCAUUAGUGUAAGCAGAGAACUUUGGAAUUACCGUUAGUUAUAUUUAGGCAGUGUAAUCACGGCAAGCCCUAGACCAAAUGGUGCCACAGGCGUGGAGCGUCUUUGGUACUUCCAACCUCCAUUUGUUAAACUUUUGAAUACCUUACAGCACUCUGAGUCCAGCGCCCCCCAAGCCUGGCACCCAGGCAGUUGUAUGGGUUGUCUGCCUCUAAAUCCGGCCUGAUCGUGGCAGUUUUGUAAUCAUCUUUUUAGAAAAUAAAGAUAAAAUUGUAUUUUUCACCUAAUUAUAGUCUCUGCAAUCACUAGGUGGAGUGGACCACAGGUGCAGCAAAGUAUUACUGUACUUACAAACAUUACACUAUAGCUGUGGUUUUCAACCUCUGGUCUACGGAUCUCUGGGGGUACGCAGACUUUAACAGUCUGCAAAAGGUUGUCAUUAGAACAGUGGUUUUCAACCUGUUGUCUGUGAACCCCUGGGGGUCCACUGACUAUGUCUAAGAUUUCCAAAGGGAUCUUGGAAAAUAAAAAAAAGGUUGAAAACCACUGCACUAUAGGCUGACAACAAAGAUCAGGAAGAAAACAAUAGAUUUUUUUCAAACACUAUUUAGUACAAUAGCCAUGUUUGAAAGUUUAGUGAUCAAAACAAAUGCAUGGGACAAUAGAUUGAUACAUUUAAAGUAAAAUGACAGGAAGUGUUUGAUCAUGAAAAAUACCUUUUUAGAGAGAGAGAGAUUAUACUGUACUUAAGUAUCUUAACUUUUUAAAGAUUCUCUAUUCCCAUCGAAAAACAUUUAAAGAUAUAUACUAUUGCACAUGAGUGACAAAGAGAAAACAAUUGACUUCCUUUCUUAUAAUAUGUGCAUUAAGCUUCAUUAGAAUAUAUAUAGGCCCAAUCCUGUUUCUAUUGAUGUCAAUAGGAGUUUUACCAUUGUCUUAAAUGGAUUGGGCCCUACGUGUAUAAACAAAGUUAUUUUUUUAUUAUCUGAAACCUAAAACAAAUACUAUAUAAUUCAGUUAUUCUGUCAUCAUAUGGGAAUAUUGUGACUGCCAUAUCAAAUCAGAUGAUUGGUCCAUGUAUCUUUGAACCUGUGCAUGAUUAUCAGCUCUGGACAAUUUAAUAUGGAAUAGAAAUGUUCUUUCCAAUGUCUGGCUUGUUCUUCACACAUUUUCAACAUCUAGAAGAAGGACCAACAACACCCGACAACAUUAAGGCAGGUUUCAAAAGCCUCAAAGAGGGGAAAGCUCCUGAUGGUGACAGAAUUCAAUGAGAAGUACUAAAAAUGGGAAGCAAAAUUCUGACUGAGCAGCUAACAAAACUCUGAUGAAAUAUGGGUGAAAGAACCAGUGCCACAAGACUGGAAAGAUGGUAUCAUUGUGGCAUUGCCAAAAAAAGAUGAUCUUAUUCAGUACACAAACUGGAGUGGUAUUGUACUGCUGUCAAUCCUGGGCAAAGUAUUGGCUACUGUUAUGCUGAAUAGAAUGAAGAAGGCAGUGGAUGCAAUAUUACAAGAACUGGCUGGGUUCAUGUUAUGAACAGAUGUUCACUCAUUUGACAGAUCAUUGAAAAAGCUACGGCUUGGCUAAAACCAAUCUUAAUUAACUUUAUCGACUUUAAGAAAGAGUUCAAUAGUGUCCACAGCGAGACCCUGUAGAAUAUUGCUAGAAGUAUGGAUACCAGACAAAGUGAUCCAUGUAAUAAGGAAUUUAUAUGCUGGAAGUAGAUGCGCAAUAUGAUUGGAUACAGGCCUGGGUAAGUGGUCCAAUAUUAUGCCUGGAAUUAGACAAGGGUGUGUAUUAUCACUAAUCCUCUGUGCAUUAGCAAGAGACUGGGUGAUGAAACAGGCAACAGAAGGCAUUGUGGAUGGUGUAAAAUGUGUUAGCCGAGAUGAGUUACACAAUCUUGACUUUGCUGACGACAUAGCUCUCCUAAGUAUGACAUGAAAUGGAAUGAUUGUCCUUACCUCAGAAGUAGAACAGGAAGCAGCAAAAAAUUGGAUUGAAAGUAAAUGUAAAGAAAACCAAGAUUAUGAAGAUAGGAAGCUGGAGAACAGGUGAAAAGGUGUACGUGGAUGGGAAAAAAUUAAACAGGUAGAAGUGUUCUGCUAUCUGGGGAGUACGAUGACAUUUGAAGGUGGGUGUGAUAAAAAUAUUCAUAUGAGAUUAGGCAAAGAAAACACCACUUUUGGAAGGAAGAACAACUUGUGGUCGAAUGGAGGUCUCCAAACCAAACUAAAGAUCAGAUUAUUCCAUGUGAUUGUACUGAGUAUGCUAUUGUAUGGAGCGGAGAUAUGGCUGAUGACAGUGACUAACACAACAAGAUUGGAAGCUGCCCAUCACAGAUAGCUGAGGAAUAUACUUCACAUUUCAUAGAAUCAUAGAAAUGUUGGGUUGGAAAGGACCCCUCAAGAAGCCAUUAAGAAAUUGAGAAUUUCAUGGAAAGACAAAAUAACAAAUGUGAAAGUAAGGGAGCUGACAGAGCAGGACGUGUUAGAAAAUAUCAUCAAAGAAAGAAGGCUCAGGUGAUCAGUACACCAUAUGGAGAUAGGAGACAUGCUAAGCAAGCAUUGAUUUAGGUAGCUGAGAGAGGAAAGAGAAACAGAGGAAGGUCAAGGAAGAACUGGUAGAAGACAGUGACAGAGGACAUUGAAUGCUCUGGCAUUCAAUAGGGAAGAAGUACUACAACUAGUGAGUGACCAUAAUCAGGGGAGAGUCUGGAUUGCCUCAUGUGUCAGUGGCAUAAGCAGAACUCAGAUCUAAGAUAAGGGUCCGUAUAUCCCGUUGAGUAGUAUCCUGCUUUCAUAGAAAGGUGAGGACUUUUGAUAAAGCAUGUAGGCUCUAGAGCAGAAAUUGACUAAGUGUCCCAUUGUUCCCAUUGAGGAAAAUGGGAAUCUGCUCAGGUGCAGAUACCUAUCUAUGCACAGAACAAAAGAAGUAUCAUACUGGAGAAGACAAGUCCAUCUAGUCCAGAAUACUGGUUAUUACAGUGUCCAGUACCACAUGCUUCUGUGGUAUGUGCAUCACCCCCAGAAGAUAAUUGGAAUAACCUGCCAUAAGGAGAAAUUACUUGCUCUGUCAAAUAGCGGUAGGCUCAUGCCCUGAAGCAUGAGGACUACAUUUUUUUUAACCUUUCUAAAAUAACUGUGGAUAUUAUUAUUCAUUUAAAAAUGUAAACCUUUUUUGAAUCCUAUUAAGCUCCGGCCUCAACGAUAUCUUGGGCAAUGACCACUAUAACAUUAUGUGAUAUGUAAUUAAAAACAAUUUCCUUUUGUCAGCUUUAAA